rnacentral:rRNA from 1 species
UACGUAGGUGGCAAGCGUUGUCCGGAUUUACUGGGCGUAAAGGGCGUGCAGGCGGUCUGUUAAGUCUAGGGUGAAAGCUCCCGGCUCAACUGGGAGAGGUCCUUGGAUACUGGCGGACUUGAGGGAGACAGAGGAGAGUGGAAUUCCCGGUGUAGUGGUGAUAUGCGUAGAUAUCGGGAGGAACACCAGUGGCGAAGGCGGCUCUCUGGGUCUUACCUGACGCAGAGACGCGAAAGCGUGGGGAGCAAACAGG